rnacentral:misc_RNA from 1 species
GGUUUUUACAUUGUAAAUCGAACGCACACAAAUGAUUCCUAUUUCUAUUUCUUAAAGUAAAGCAUGGACAGUAAUUCUAAUAUCAAGUCUUGUUAAUUUUUUUUUCUCUUAAGACUCUUGAGUUCAGAUGAAACUGGUGAAUCAUUAUCCAAGGUCGCUUUAUUUGACCAGAAGUGUACUUUUGUAUGAGUAGAUAGUUCUAAUAUUAACUGCAUAUUUAAUUCCAUUACUGUACUCAUCACUGUGUUAUUUGUUUUCUUACUUUAGUGCUAUAAUUAAAGUACAUGUAUGUGUUUUUGCAAAUGUAUCUGAAUUAGGUAGAGGUUUAAACCAAUCAUUUGGAAGUUGGAUUUUUUUUCUCUUUUCAUUAUCAAUUUUAUAACCCCUGUCCUAAGGCAAAUUACCCAGGCAUUAAACUCUUUCAUUUAAAUUUGUGCACAUCUUUGCAGGUUUUUUUAUUUUCUAAAAUUGGUGGCAAAUUGCUUGACAUAAUGCUACCGUUAGAAUAUUUAAAAUUUUCUUUAAGCUGUUUAAAAAAUGUCUAAAUUUUAUGACAAAAAUAUGUCAUUGAAUGUUCAUCUGUGGGUAUCUUUCCAGCUUUGAGAAUUUCUUUUCUAUAUUGUCUUUUUUUUUAUUAGAAUAUAUUUUAUUUUACGUCAUUAAGAUGUAUUUCCAGGUUUUUUUUCCAGCAUUCUGUUCCAUACAACUGGAAGUUCCUUUCUAGUUGUGAAUGUUUGUGGGAUAUUGAUGGGGCUUUAGAUGCAUAAUGUGAUUAUUGUGAUGUUGGACUUGUAUUUAUCUGAUACAUUUAUAUGUAUGACAAAAAAAUUCAAUGUAAAUUUACUUUUUCGAAUGCAAAAAAAUUAUUAGAUGUUAAUGUGUAUAUGGACAAAUGAGUUUGUAUUGUAUAGUGCAAUUGAUGUAAUUGCAGAGUUAGGAUCCAUUAAUUGAGAUUAAUUGAGAGAAUAGGUUCAUGUAUCCCCCAAAAAAAUUUCAACAAUUAUUUUGAAAAAAAAUUCUUACAAUUUUCUUUUAAUGUCAAGAAUAAAAUUAUUUUGAAACAAAAUUUUAGAGAAACACUGUAAGGGCAACUUUUAUAAAAAAAAAAAAAUCAAAUGAAGCUUUACUCACUUAUUUGCAAUAUUUAAGAAUAUAGAAUAGAAUUUGACUUGAUCAGUAUAUAUACUAUGUUAAAAUAAGUCUGUUAUAAAUAUUUUAAGU